UCUCCUGAAUUGUUGUCAACAGCUAGUUAUUCCAUGUGUGUUAUGCCCUGAAUCCUGUUCUGAAUACAACGCUAGUAGGUUCCACUAAUUAAUUAAAUUGUACUUCAUAGACUUGGAGUCAAGGCUCUUGAAUACAAGAUGCAAAUUUAUGCAACAUAUGCAAAUCACUCAUGUUCUCAAAUUCCAUGAACAAAAUCUGGUAGCCUUGAGAUAAAAAAGCCCCUGCCAAGCAUCAUCUCUUCUAAUUAUUUCUUAAUUCCACCCCCCCCUCCCCCUUUAACACUGAACUAACACUUUCAGGCUUGGCAGAAACUGGUAGAAAUACAAUGAGAGUUGGUUACAAACAGGAAGUUCCUUAAGGGCAAAGACCCUCUAAUCUACUUUAUGUUCUCCGGGGGCUCCUAGUACACAGUUGAGCACACAUAGUCUUCCAUAGGGCACGGCACCACUAGUCCUAACUACUAAAUUAUGGAUGAUUUGGAUGAACAGAAGUUGAAGCCCUGCAAGCUUUGUCUAAAACAUGCCAUUUAAGUCUAGGAAUAAGGAUACAAUGACCUGCACUGUCUCUAACACGUGGGGUUAUAUAAAUUCAGGUGCAUUAAAAUUAAAUAAAACUAAAAAAAAAUCAGUUGUCAGAAUAGUCACUUUGACUGACAGCUAUACGUGGCUAGUGACCUGCUGGGCAACACAGAUAUGAAUGUUUCUAUUUCCAUACAAAGUUCUAUUGGGCAGUUCUGGUCUAGGCGUGGCUACUCAAAGUCUGAUCCUUGAGCCAGCAGUAUGGCAUCACAUGGGAGCUUACUGGAAAUGCAGGAUCUCAGGCCCUACCCCAGGUCCACUUCAUGAGACUCUGCAUUUUAACAAAAUCCCUAAUUCAUUCAUACGCAUGUCCGAGUAAGAGGCAUCAGUCUAGAUCCAAAAUAGAAAUUGGUGGUUCUCAGAGUUUAGCAUGCAUCAGAAUCAUCCGGAGGAAUUAUUAAACACACAUUGCUGGGCAUCGAUCUGAGAGUUUCUGAUUUAGUAGGUAUAUUCUAGUUUCCCAGUGCUGCCAUAACAAAUUACCACAAGCUGGGUGGUUGAAAACAAAAGAAAUCUAUGCUGUCUCUCAAUUCUGGAGGCUAGAAGUUUGAAAUCAAGGUGUUGGCAAGGCCGUGGUCCCUCUGAGGCCUUCCUUAGGUAGGGAAGAGUCCUUCCUUGCCUCUUCCUAGCUUCUGGGGGUUUGCUGGCAAUCUCUGGUGAUUCUUGGCUUGAAGGUAUGUAGCUCUGAUCUCUGAUUCCAUCAUCACACAGCAUUCACCUCUUAUGUCUGUGUCUCUGGGUAUGUCUCUCUUCUUAAAAGGACACCAGUCAUAUUGCAUUAAGGGCCCACCCUGCUCCAGUACGACUUCAUCUUAACUUAGCUAAUUGCAUCUGUAAUGACCCUGUUUCAUAUUCUGGUGUACUAGGGCUUAAGGCUUCAACAUAUCUUUUUAAGGGGCAGGGGGCACACAAUAGAUAACAGGAAUUCCAGGGUGGGACCUGAUAAUUUGCAUUUGUAACAACUUCCCAGGUGAUCCUGAUGGUGCCCCAGAGAUCACACUUUGAAAACUACAGGUCUAAGAUACCUACAAAAUAGGAGUACAUAGAACUAAAAGUUGCAUUAUACUGUAGAAACAACUGUGUUCAGGAAUUCUAUUUUAAAGCAUACUUGGAAGAUGGUCAUCCAGUCUACGUGUGAAUACUUCCAAUGACAGGGUUCUCAUUACCAGCAGAGCAGCCUUUUCCACAGCUAUUCCUGUGAAAAUUCACACCCUUUGAACUUUCUAAAUAUCUGAUAUAUCUAGACAUCUCUAGAUAACUGAUAGCAGCUGAAUAUCUCAAUAUUGAACUCUAUCUAUAUAUCCCUUGUGUGACAGAAUUCUCAGAAUCCACUAGAUUCUGGGUUGCUGCUGGGGGCAUACUUGCUAAGGUUUUUGGGGAUGAUAAUCAUGUCUCCCAUUAUUAUACAUUAAUUAGAACUAGACACUAGAAUCCAGCAGAUUAAGAUCAAAAGGUCAGCUCUAUUUCCAGCAAACAUAUAUGGAGAGUACAACUUGGACCUUCACUGCAAUCAGCCUUCCUCAUAACCCCCACCUAGUUGAACUUAUCUGACAUAGUCAGAUACAGAGAAGCAGGAUGCUUGAAUCUACACCAAUGUGCAAGGUUUUGAGGAUAAGAGUCACUGCUAUUACCAUAUAAAGGCUUCACCACUAGUAGACAGGUUUUCCUGAAAGAGAAAGGAAAAACACCUAGUUUCUCUUCCUUCAAACUCACCCAUCUAAGAAGACAGCCCUUCCCCUCUGGUGGCCAACUUGCCACCCACUCCCACUAUUUUGUCUCUUUCAAACACACCCCCAAUGUUACUUAUAGAAGACCCCUCUUCCACGUUGCCCAAAUGUUGGAAGGUGACCCUAUUCUCAACUCAAGCCAAUCGUAGUACCUCUAAUCCCCUUGCAAGUGAUUGGUUCUAGAAUUCAGCUUUCAGCACAGCAUUAUUAUAGAAUGCUAUAGAAUGCACAGCAUUAUUCUAGAUCCUGCAAUUGGACCAGGGAUGGGCACAUGAUACAAACUAGCCUAAUUAGACUGAAUAAGACGUUUGCUUGAACAGUUGGAAAAAAGAUUUUCUAAUGAGGAAGCAUUUUGUUCAAGGACUGAGAGUAGCCAUCUUCUAACUGCAGAAGAGUCAGUCUGAAGAAAAAAGCCUUCCCCUAGAGGCUGAGAAAAGGCAAAGAAGAGCAGAGAAAUAGAUUUCCAGCUCUAAUUAUAACAGAUGAUAAAACUAAAGCACAGAGAAUUUCUAUAUCUUGCCAAGAUCAGACAGCUCUAAGUGAUGGAGGAAAAAUUCAACCUCAGGUUUUCAUGCCACAUGAGUCUGUAUUUUUCCACUGGCUACUGAAUGAAAUUCAAAGUCUUCCAGAAUGAACAUACUUGUCCAGUCUAAUCAUUGAGUAUGUCUAUACAUACCCAACCUGAAAAAGCCCCACAAGCUUCCCUGCCUUUAUUUAAUGAUGCCAGGCAUUUGUAUGCCUGGGUUACCUUUAUUGAUGAUGUUCCAUUACUUUGAAAUAAAGUUCUCUACUCAAGGAAAAUAUCUUUCAAUUUCUGAGUCCUGUGCUAGCCCCAUUAUGAGGGCUUCUCAUUGCUUGUUCUCUUCACUCAUGUUGUUUUCUUUGAAAGCAAGAGCCUGAACCAGGGAGGUGGAAGUAGAUGUGGGAAGAAGCAAAGUAGGUAAUAAAAGUCUAAGCAAAGGAUUGUGGGGAAGAUGGACACAGAGAAGGGAGAAGUUCAAGAUAAAAUGAUAGUCUUGGCCAGGCCCAGUUAGCUGGAGAAAUUAUCAUGUCUCCCUUGA